AACGAAAAUAGAGGUGGAUUCAAGGGAACGUUUGUUUUCUUUUAAGGGAUUAUGUGGGGCGGACGACUACAUAAUGCCUAGAGUCGAAAAUGAAUGUACUUGAUUGCUUUCGCUUAAUUGGGUAGUUAUUUGAAACGAAUAUGAGUCUCGAAUGUCGAGUAUUGACGUGUGUGUUUCGUUUCAGGACAGAUGUCACCGAGACGUUAUACCCGUCGGU
rnacentral:lncRNA from 1 species